rnacentral:lncRNA from 1 species
GACAGGAUGGAGAAGGAUGGCUAAGUCCAAGUCCGAAUAUCUUUAUUUCAAGACUACGCUAAUAGCCUCUAAGAAUUUUUCUCUGCUGCACUUCAGAUAAGAGUGGGCAAACAUGAAUGAUAGUCGUUCGGACAAGGGUCAUUUCAGAGCAGCCAGCGUCAGACCCAACCGAGUGAAGCCAGGAGGGACUUGAAAAUGUAAUUCAGCCAGAAGAACAGGACACGGAUCAGCAAGUGAGUGAUGGAAGGUGUUCAUGAGGAAUUUAGAUUACCACACACUGCAAAUAAACCCUGAGAAGCUGGAGCAGGCAGGGAGUGAGGAAAUCUGACUAGUAGGCAGAGAGGAGCCCUCCCAGGGGUGAGGGAAGAUGUAGGGUGCACCCUGAUCUCCGCCAAAAAUAUCAGUGCUAGUCCAGGAAAGUUUAGUUGUGAUUGAACCCUGAAACUUGGAAAGGUAGGAAGAGAAAUAAAAUAAUGUUGGGCUGGUCUCCAGUAACCAACUAGGAGAUUAAAAUUGCUUGUUUUUUGUAUAACAUUAAAACUGCUUCACAUCUCGACAAAGAUCAGGAAAUUCAAAGUUAAAGCGGAUCCUCAUAAAUGGAAAUUCUUGCCGUCAUGGGAAAUAAAAAGCAUAUCAAGAUGCAAGUGACAGAUGUACUGUCAACUGGGAGCCCCAGCUUGGAAUUUCCUGGCUUUUUUAUUUAUUUCACUGCUCCUAACACAGUGCAUAGCCGGACCAGUGUUUAUUCCUCCUAGUCUCUCCCUUAUUAACAGGUACUCAUAUACACUGAUAAAUAAUUACACAUGCUGUGAAAAUUAAGGUUUUGGGGUUGGUUUUUAUUGCUGUUUUUAUUGUUUGUUUGUUUUUUGGAGUUUUUUUGUUUUGUUUUGGUAAUUGUUUUUGAAACUGCUUAUUAUACAAUUUAGUAGGGAAUUUUUCUCAUUUGGAAAGACCUGUGUAUUACUAAAGGCAAAACUGAGACCUAUCAGUUACAUUUUCCUAUAAAAGAGAAGUCAACACCCGUCUUAAAAUAUCUUGGUAUGUGGAAAUUCACCUGUAAGAUCAAAAAUGCAGUUUCCAAACUCAGCUUCAUCCAGUUCACAUUGAGCAUCCUGAUCAGCAGG